rnacentral:lncRNA from 1 species
AUGCCAGGAUGGGGGAUGCCAGCAAAUGCACUGCUCGCUGUGAGCAGGGCUGUUUGCAAGGGGAGACAAGCUCCUUUUUCUAGUGUGUUCCGAGUGAGUCUUUGGGGUUUAGCAGGGGUGGCAGGUCCCCCAACUGCAGCACAUUUGUCAGCCACUCAGCACCCACGGAACACUGAUCAGCAUGGGCCGUGUUCUGGGCGGAUGACAGAGCCGUGCCGGAGCUCAGUGUGCAGAGGACAUGGACAGAUUUCAUCAGCGUGUGCUCGGUACUCAGGAGAGGUCUACCCAUCAAGUGGAAGCCACGUGAUGAGCGGUCAGGAGGGUUGGUCAAACAGCGCUUCUUCCAUAACACACACAAAGUCACUCAACAAACAUGCUGAGCACCUACCAAGUGUGGGGUGCUGGGAGGAAGGGCAGGAGGACACUGCCCCAGCUCUGAUGCCAUUGAUGGCAACCUUAGGAGGUUCAUGAGAUAUUUGGGGCACAGUCCUUGGGGCGUUCUCGGCCCUCCUGUUGCCUUAGGUCCAUGUUGGGGCGUGCCCAGGGACUGCUUGCCCGGUCCACAGCCUCCUGCAUGCUUUGUUCGAGGUGCCGGGCCCCUUGCGGCCAGUGAGCUGCUGCCCAAGCCGCCUUCAGCAGAGCCCCCUAGGGCGGCCGUGGGCCUGCCAUAGCGACCCUGUGGGGAGGGGGCCACCUGCUGCUUUCAGGCCCCAGGAGAACCCCAAGUGUGUGAUGCCGGUUCAGAACAGAGUUGUGCAAAGUUGGGAAUGAGAGGCCAUACCCUCCCACUCUCGGUCCCACCCCUGCCCCAGCUCCAGCUGGGUAGGGGCAAGGGGGACCCACCGGCUCAGGAACACGCGGCCUGCCAGCGUUUCCCAGUGUUUCGCUGUCUGGCUGACUUAGCCGAGUCGUCAGUGGAAUGACCUGUACAACAAUCGGUGCCUUAUGAAAGUGUCUGUGCACUUUUUAUCCUUUGUAAAACAACUUUUAAAAAGUGGGCGGGGGACCAGCAGAUGGAGUGGAUUCUGGAAAUCUGUGAUGAGCACCUAACUCUUCCACAUUCUGAUCCUGAUGUUGCCGUGAAAAGGUGCCCGGCCCCCAGCCCACGCCCCACUACCUGUGUACAGGCCUUUGGAAAUCUGUCCUUUUUUCUCCUCCUUUUUCUGAUUCAAUGCUGUGACCACUCCCAUACAGUCUAAUCUUCGGGGAUCUGUAAUAAAGGGUUUCAGACUUAGAGGAGCGGGUUGGGA